rnacentral:lncRNA from 1 species
UGUGGGAGUGUACAAACGCGAAAUAAAGUGAGAGCAAGACAGGACGUG